GGGCGGGGUGGUGUGGGUGCCCGUGGCCUGGACCUUGGGCCCGGGGCUGCCCACACCCGAGAGAAGCCGCUAAGAUCCCGCAUGCCGCAACUAAAACCGUGUGCCGCAACUAAGACCUGACACAGCCAAAUAAAUAAAAGAAAAAGAAAAGAUGCCAUAAGGUACACCCUCAAGAGAAGCCCCUGCCCGCGUGUGCCAGGUGGUAAAAUGUCCAAAAGAGCAAAGCGAGCCCUGCAGAGAGAUGGACACAACCCAGAUGUCCCCCACAGAAUGCACGUGACGCUGAGGUUUAUUCGUGCAGUGGGAUGUUGUGCAGCAGUGAACAUGGACGAUCCCCAGCCACAAACGACUACGUGGCCAAGUCUUAGAAACACGAUGUCGAGUGAACAAAGCAAGUUCCAGAAGACUCUGUGUGGCACCAUAUUAUUUAUAAAACUCAAAAUGAUAGUUAAACCCUACAGUGUGGGCAUGUACACAAUGGCAGUAGGAUUACUUAAAAGUGAAACACAGGGGCAGCCUGUAUUACAGCAGAGGGGUCAGCGCUGCAGAGACGGGGGCAGAGUGAGAAGGACCGUCUGGGUGAUAUGGGUGUGUAAUUAAACUUUAUAAUGUACACACAUUUACAUACAGGAAGUCCCCUACUAAUGAACCUUCAAGUUGCGAACUUUCAGAGAUGCGAAUGUGUGUUCACAUGUCCAGUCACAUAAGUUAGUUCAUGUGUCUGGUGUACGUAGUCACGUGCAUGCAUCCUCUACAAGUGGCUGUGCUUUUGUGUCCUUUAGUGUAUGGAGUACAGUAGUGCAGUAUUUUUAUUUCAAGCCAGGAUGUCCAGAGCAAGCGUACAAGCAGCGGUGUACAGCCGACUGUGUUAGUUGGGUACCUGGGCUCACUUCGUUCGACUUAAUGAACAAAUUGGACUUACGAACACGCUCUCGUAACGGAACUCGCUCGUAUGUAGGGGACUUACCGUAUAUUCUUUUGUACAUACCAAAAUGUAAUAUAUUAAAAUGUAAUAACGGAA